GAUGAACGCUGGCGGUGUGCCUAAUACAUGCAAGUCGAGCGAACAGACGAGGAGCUUGCUCCUCUGAUGUUAGCGGCGGACGGGUGAGUAACACGUGGAUAACCUACCUAUAAGACUGGGAUAACUUCGGGAAACCGGAGCUAAUACCGGAUAACGUGUUGAACCGCAUGGUUCAACAGUGAAAGACGGUCUUGCUGUCACUUAUAGAUGGAUCCGCGCCGCAUUAGCUAGUUGGUAAGGUAACGGCUUACCAAGGCAACGAUGCGUAGCCGACCUGAGAGGGUGAUCGGCCACACUGGAACUGAGACACGGUCCAGACUCCUACGGGAGGCAGCAGUAGGGAAUCUUCCGCAAUGGGCGAAAGCCUGACGGAGCAACGCCGCGUGAGUGAAGAAGGUCUUCGGAUCGUAAAACUCUGUUAUUAGGGAAGAACAAAUGUGUAAGUAACUAUGCACGUCUUGACGGUACCUAAUCAGAAAGCCACGGCUAACUACGUG
rnacentral:rRNA from 1 species